GUGAGGAAUAUUGGUCAAUGGGCGGGAGCCUGAACCAGCCAAGUCGCGUGAAGGAAGAAGGAUCUAUGGUUCGUAAACUUCUUUUGCAGGGGAAUAAAGUGCAGGACGUGUCCUGUUUUGUAUGUACCCUGAGAAUAAGGAUCGGCUAACUCCGUGCCAGCAGCCGCGGUAAUACGGAGGAUCCGAGCGUUAUCCGGAUUUAUUGGGUUUAAAGGGUGCGUAGGUGGUUUGAUAAGUCAGCGGUGAAAGUUUGCAGCUUAACUGUAAAAAUGCCGUUGAAACUGUCGGACUUGAGUGUAAAUGAGGUAGGCGGAAUGCGUGGUGUAGCGGUGAAAUGCAUAGAUAUCACGCAGAACUCCGAUUGCGAAGGCAGCUUACUAAGCUACAACUGACACUGAAGCACGAAAGCGUGGGGAUCAAACAGGAUUAGAUACCCUUGUAGUCC
rnacentral:rRNA from 1 species